UACGUAGGGUGCAAGCGUUAAUCGGAAUUACUGGGCGUAAAGCGUGCGCAGGCGGUUCGCUAAGACAGAUGUGAAAUCCCCGGGCUUAACCUGGGAACUGCAUUUGUGACUGGCGGGCUAGAGUAUGGCAGAGGGGGUAGAAUUCCGACGUGUAGCAGUGAAAUGCGUAGAGAUGUGGAGGAAUACCGAUGGCGAAGGCAGCCCCUGGGCCAAUACUGACGCUCAUGCACGAAAGCGUGG
rnacentral:rRNA from 1 species